UCCUCUAUAUCUUCAAUCUAUAUCAUUCUACUUUAGAUGGACCUUUGGCGGUAAGUAUUUGCAGAAAUUUUCAACUUUUUUCUCAAAAUGUAUUAGUGGGAAUUCUAAUUGCAUUACACAAUGUGCAUGCUUGAGUUCCAAAUAAUUAAUUGAUUUUGCCAAUAUAGGUCUUUUACUGAUUUUUAGAGUACUUCAGUAAAUUUGAGUGGGAGAGCUAUUGUGUUAGUUUGAAUGGACCAGUUUGAAAAUCUUCCCUUCCUGAUAUAGUAGGUAAGAAUUAUUUUCAUGUUUGCGACACUGGAUGGCUUGAUGGUUGCUUAUUGAUUGAAUUCUAUCUCAUAGCCAAAAGACCAGAAAAUGGGAGGGAUGAACUUUUGCUAAGUGAAGAAUUUUUGCAAGAAUGUUUUGACAAGUUCUCUGUUCCGUCAAGGGGGAUUGAGACAGAAUCUACGGACAUUUCCUCAGAAGCAUCUUAAUAUAGUUGAUGUUCUAAAAGAGAAUAACAAUCUUGGACAUAGUAUCAACAGAGGUAGGAACUGCUUUUUCUAGUACAACGGACUUUUAGCACAACUAUGAGUCGAUGGUUACCUCAUUUAAAAGAACCACUGUACUGCCUAUAGAACUAUGAGUAGGGGAUUAUACAUUCACUAAAAGACCGAUGCCCAAUGGCUGAGCUACCUCUAUGAAAGCAGCAGUGCCGCAAACAAAUAUAGAAAGAACUUUGCCAGAAAUAAAUAAAAAUUAUUUUGCUUCCAUCUCCAUUUCUUUAAACCUAUUUUUUUAUUAAUGAGUCUCACUGUAAUGUUAUCUACACCUCCAAUGUUACCAUCACCUCAGCUUGCAUUACAACCGUGUCGCCAUUUUGUUUCUGAUUAUCGUUGAGUAUAAAUUGGCUUAUACUUCCCUUUUAAUUGUUUUAUCUGUUGUCAUGUUCUGGGCUUUUUACAGGUGAUUCUUAUCGAAUACGUAGUGCCUUUAAAUAUGGAGCUCUUAAGCUUGGACAAAUCCUUAUGUUGCCAAAUGAAAGAUUGGUAGAUGAACUUAACUAGCUCUUUGCAAGUACUUUAGACAGACAUGGAAAUAUGAGCUAUUGUAGCAUUUCACCGUAGCUUUUUUUUUUUUUUUAAUGUUACCAAAUGUCAUUCUAUGGUAACACUUAUUAAAAAAUGCUACAGUUUGACUAUUUAAUAAUGUUACUUUAUUCUUUAUUAUAUUUUACAGUCAAUUUGUAGCAUAUUGCUAGUGCUGCGUUUUAUUUUUAAUACCGUAGCACUUUAAAUAUGCUACAAACUAAUGUUGGGGCUCCUGGAAUUUUGUCCUCUAGAAAUAGAGACGAUUCAUCUACUUGUUUUCCUUAAGUACUAAUUAAUUUUGGUAUUUCCUUUCUGGCAAAAUCUCAUGAAGCUCCCUAUUGCAAUGGGCGAAUUGGAAAUGGAAGCUCUCAUGGAAGAAGACGGUCUAUAUCAUCCACUGGCAAUGAUGUGAGUUUUGCUUGAUGUUCAAAGCCUGAGAAUAGAAUAGUGGCUACCAGUUCAAUCUGCUUGUACAAAAGUCACGAGAUUAUAGCACCGAACAAUUAGGCACUUUUGAACCUUGCUGCUAACAACUCAGAAAAUUUAUCCUCGUCUCGUAGAGAAAGAAAGUAUUGAAACAUUUAAGAGAACUCUGAAUCUUUAAAACCUUUACUUGAUCUUUGUGGUCAGUACAAGAGCUGCUUCGACAAUUUGAUGUAUGCUAAGCAUUACUACUUGUCUGUACCUAUAUUGUUGAGUCCUAUCAUGUUGAAUUAGCAGCAGAAUAACAAUCUUGGAGAAGCCACCUAGCAAUCCCUACAGUUGAAAUCAAAGGCUUUUAUCAAAGUGAAUGCAAGUGGUGAUCCUAUGAAUCCUCCCAUGCCAUGCAAUGCUUUUAGUUCAGAAGAUAUUUAUUUUAAAGCAUUUUCUGGUUUUAGUUUCACUUAUGCUGAAAUCUUGUAGAAUUAUCAUUCAAAUGGAGAGAAUCAAUUGUCAGGGAGAGGUAGGUCUCAAGCAACAGGGGCUUAUAUUUAGAGAUACACUCAUAAAAAUGGCUAGGUGACAGUUCCAAUAGAGACAAAUACAGCUCCAACAGAGACAAAUUUUUCAGUGGAAGACA
rnacentral:lncRNA from 1 species